UGAUUGACAGGCUCUGACAUCAGCUGGCGUCAUGGAAAGAGUCUCGCUAAAGGAGAAGUCUCGUUCUGAAAUCUCGCGAUAUGACCGGAAGACGACGGUUGGAAUACUUCCAUGGAGGAAACCAGAGUGCCAGCUGGCCGAGUUUGUUUUGUUGAAGAACAGAAAGUGUAGCUUAGAGUUAUUAAUUCAUAUUUAAAGAUGAUUUUGACAAUGUGGAUGAGGUCUUUGAAUCCGAGGGCCUGCGGUAGGCUUUUUAUUUAAGCCAGAGUAAGUUUAUACGGACUUUCAGAUACUUCUCGUUGAGUGAGACUUGGACACAAACAGACCGGAUCAAGUAAAAGGGUUCGCGUAGAGUCAGCCCGGGCAAGUGAUUCACUAACUCCACUGGAGGUGAUGGAGAGCUCCUGGAGGGACACAGACUUCAGCCGUGUUUACCUGUUCUCCUGGAGGCACCGGUGGUACCCUCCUAUCUGUAAGAGCAACAUAUGUACCUCCACUUCAGGACUAUUGAAGUUUUUUUUAUGUUUGGAGUGUUUACUUCCUAAUUAGGAACAACUGGCGCACGCCUUCAGUUUACGAGGACAAUGAGAUUCAUCAUUAUAAGAACACAGGUAAUUACACAGGGGGGGCUGCAAACUCUCAAAGCAUCCCCUGGGAACAUUCAUGUGGAACCAUCGGGGGAAACGCUGUGGAUACCGGUCGGGCGCCAUAACUCACCAUUAUCACAGAAGACUCAUGGCUGUUCCCUCUCUCUCUCUCUCUCUGCAGCUAACGAGGGG